rnacentral:tRNA from 1 species
GCCGAGGUAGCUCAGUUGGUAGAGCAUACGCCUGAAGAGCGUGUGGUCGGCGGUUCGAGCCCGCCCCUCGGCA